UUCACAGCAGGAACCAGGCUCCAAGCAACAUCUAACUGUGUCACUUUGAUGGAGAAGCAGACUGGAUCAAGGCUCACCUCUACACCCUGGGGACAGUGCGUCUCAUCAGCCCUGCCAGAUGAUGUCCUGGAAUUAGGAAGCAGCUAGUACAACGAAGGAAAACAGAGGAAUGCACUAACACAGGACGUGGGCAGUGUGGCAAGCCAGCCAAAACACGAGUCCACUCUACCCUUUAAUAGGUUGAGAGUUCUGGGGAUCUGAAGUGUGAAAUCAAGGCAUCGGCAGGGUUGGUUUCAUGAGAGUCUGAGGAGGAAUGUUCUAUGUCUUUCUCCUAACUUCUGUGCUGCUUGGCUGCAAGACAUGGAACUUGGCCACCGCCUCCUCUCAAGACUUCCGGUAAUAAGAAAAAAUAAUCAAAAAAAGCAAAAAUCGAGGGUAGCCUGAUUUAAUCUGAGAUGGAUUUCAGGUGCUGCAGAGAAACAAUUCUAAACAAAGUCCAAGGUGAAAAUCCUCCUUCUGGAGUCUCACAUCACAAAAUUGGAGUGAAUGUAGGGCAAUGUUCACAGACAGAAAUGAAAUGACUGAACUCACCCAUAAAAGAAGGAUAACAAUAGCAAAGAGUUGGAACCAACCCAAAUGUCCAACAACGAUAGACUGGAUUAAGAAAAUGUGGCACAUAUACACCAUGGAAUACUAUGCAGCCAUAAAAAAUGAUGAGUUCAUGUCCUUUGUAGGGACAUGGAUGAAACUGGAAACCAUCAUUCUCAGUAAACUAUCGCAAGGACAAAAAACCAAACACCGCAUGUUCUCACUCAUAGGUGGGAAUUGAACAAUGAGAACUCAUGGACACAGGAAGGGGAACAUCACACUCCGGGGACUGUUGUGGGGUGGGGGGAGGGGGGAGGGACAGCAUUAGGAGAUAUACCUAAUGCUAAAUGACGAGUUAAUGGGUGAAGGAAAUCAACAUGGCACAUGGAUACAUAUGUAACAAACCUGCACAUUGUGCACAUGUACCCUAAAAUCUAAAGUAUAAUAAAAAUAUAUAUAUAUAUGAGAAAAAAAAAGAAGGAUAAAACUCAAUUUAAUAAAAGAUAGUUUGGGACAGUUUUAUGUAAAAAUAAACAACUUGACAUUUCAA